rnacentral:rRNA from 1 species
AUUGAACGCUGGCGGCAUGCCUUACACAUGCAAGUCGAACGGCAGCACGGGAGCUUGCUCCUGGUGGCGAGUGGCGAACGGGUGAGUAAUACAUCGGAACGUACCCAGGAGUGGGGGAUAACGUAGCGAAAGUUACGCUAAUACCGCAUAUUCUGUGAGCAGGAAGGCGGGGGAUCGCAAGACCUCGCGCUCUUGGAGCGGCCGAUGUCGGAUUAGCUAGUUGGUGAGGUAAAAGCUCACCAAGGCGACGAUCCGUAGCAGGUCUGAGAGGAUGAUCUGCCACACUGGAACUGAGACACGGCCCAGACGCCUACGGGAGGCAGCAGUGGGGAAUUUUGGACAAUGGGGGCAACCCUGAUCCAGCCAUGCCGCGUGAGUGAAGAAGGCCUUCGGGUUGUAAAGCUCUUUCGGCGGGGAAGAAAUGGCAACGGCUAAUAUCCGUUGUUGAUGACGGUACCCGCAUAAGAAGCACCGGCUAACUACGUGCCAGCCGCCGCGGUAAAAC